GACGUAGGGCGCGAGCGUUGUCCGGAUUUAUUGGGCGUAAAGAGCUCGUAGGCGGCUUGUCGCGUCGUUCGUGAAAACCUGUGGCUCAACUACAGGCUUGCGGUCGAUACGGGCAGGCUGGAGUUCGGUAGGGGAGACUGGAAUUCCUGGUGUAGCAGUGAAAUGCGCAGAUAUCAGGAGGAACACCGGUGGCGAAGGCGGGUCUCUGGGCCGAUACUGACGCUGAGGAGCGAAAGCGUGGGGAGCGAACAGG
rnacentral:rRNA from 1 species